rnacentral:rRNA from 1 species
CCUACGGGAGGCUGCAGUGGGGAAUAUUGCACAAUGGGGGCAACCCUGAUGCAGCGACGCCGCGUGAGUGAAGAAGUAUUUCGGUAUGUUAAGCUUUUUCUGCAGGGGAGUAGAAAGACGGUCCCUGACCAUGAUGCAUCGGCUAACUACGUGCCAGCAGCCGCGGUAAUACGGAGGGGGCGAGCGUUAUCCGGAUUUACUGGGUGUAAAGGGAGCGUAGACGGGUGGGCAAGUCUGAAGUGAAAGCCUAGGGCUCAACCGUGAGACUGCUUUUGAAACUGUGGAGCUAGAGUGCUGGAGAGGUAAGUGGAAUUCGUGGUGUAGCGGUGAAAUGCGUAGAUAUUAGGAAGAACACCGAUGGCGAAGGCAGCUUACUGGACAGUAACUGACGUUGAGGCUCGAAAGCGUGGGGAGCAAACAGGAUUAGAUACCCGAGUAGUC